AUUCAUGUUUUCAGAGGAUUGCUCUGGCUGCUGUGCUGCAAAUAGGCUAUGGGGAUCAAGAGUGUCAGUAGGGAAACCAGUUAAAGCAGCCAUGUUUUACCAGGACUAAGCGUGGCCCACAGGCUGAAGAAGGCAGUUCUGUAAUGAGUCCCUGAACCACUGAAUUCAAUCCUGGAGCCUGCCUGCCUGCAGACUUCUUAAUACGUGAAAUAUUGUAGGCCGGUCGCGGUGGCUCACGGUUGUAAUCCCAGCACUUUGGAAGGCCGAGGCAGGCGGAUCACGAGGUCAGGAGAUCCAGACCAUGGUGAAACCCCG
rnacentral:lncRNA from 1 species